rnacentral:rRNA from 1 species
AUGGCGGCCGGCAGGGUUCCUCAAUUGCAACCAGCACCAUCUCCUCCACCACAACCAAUGCUUCUUACUUUUGAGGAGUUUCUGACACAGAACCCUGGCCCCUCGCCGGGAACUGGUGGAUCUACCGUUGGUGGUGGUGCUGGUCUUGGCAUCACUCCCGAGUCACGGAGCCCGGUCACUCCUAUCCACGGAGGCGGCGGCGGUCUUGGCGGUAGCGCUGCCGCUAGCAGGGAUGACCUAGGCUUCAGCGGACUUGGCGGUGAUGACCUUGGCGGUGGUGGUGGAUGUCCUAGCGCUUAA